UGUGAAUGGAAUUUCCUGGUGUGGAGCAUUUAGAGUUCAUUUGAACAGUUUAACGGAAAAAUGGUGUGUUUAUUGUGGGUAAUAUAGAAGGAAACAUCCUUGCUAAACAAUAGUUCACUAAUUAAUUAUAGAAAGCCACAUCUGUUGAAAUACAGCAUAUUCCUCAUCAUAAAUAGUGACCAACAUUACAUUUUCUAUAGGAUUCAACAGCCUCACAUGAACGACAUUUUUCCUUACCGAAACAGGAACAAACCUAACACACGCAGCAGCUCUGCCAUUAAAAUCUUUUCACACAUAUUAUAACAAAAAUAUUACUCUCCGACGAGAGCUAGUCUAACUAGCACUAUGGAAACCCAUUAAGAAGAUUCUUGUAUAUAACCUCACUAAUUGCGAAUUGCGAAUAGGCAGAGCAAAAGUCCCUAUUAUCAAA